CCUCCCGUAAGGGACAUCAGUACAGGUGGUGCAUGGCUGUCGUCAGCUCGUGUCGUGAGAUGUUGGGUUAAGUCCCGCAACGAGCGCAACCCUUAUUCUUAGUUGUUUCCCUUUGGGAUUACCCUCUAAGAAGACUGCCUCGGAUAACGGGGAGGAAGGUGGGGAUGACGUCAAGUCCGCAUGCUCCUUACGUCUAGGGCUACACACGUCCUACAAUGGGGUCGACAAUGGGAUGCAAUAUCGCAAGAUGGAGCCAAUCCCCAAACGGCCUCUCAGUUCGGAUUGUAGUCUGCAACUCGACUACAUGAAGUUGGAAUCGCUAGUAAUGGCAGAUCAGCAUGCUGCCGUGAAUACGUUCCCGGGUCUU
rnacentral:rRNA from 1 species